AUGGCUGCGGACGACGGCGAGCCCACCACCGUCGUCUCGCCAACGCCGCACCCGGAGGAGGAGCCUACCCUGUCCGCGGACGUCCUCUUCGAGCCAACGGCACUGUCGCUGCUGCCGCCGCCGCGGGAGGAGGAUAAGGAGGGGGAGGACCCGGAGGAAAAUCCUAUCGUCGCUCCAAUGCUGCCGUCGCAGCUGCAGGUGGAGAAGGAGGAGGACGAGCAGCUGGUGCCCGCCGCGGCGCUGCCCGAUCCGCUCGAAUCGGGCCCGGCUCCAUUCAAGGGACACGAGGAGACAUCGCAAGACAAAGAUCCCUUCCAGGUUCCCGGUCCAGCAAAUGAGGACAAGCCCUGUCAAGACCAAAAUCCCUUUCAGGUUUUGGGUCCAGCUCCAGCAAAUGAGAUAUAUGAGGAUGGUUACCCAAGUCAUGUAUACUCUGGCAACCCAUUUGGACCAUCUGUGCCGUAUACUCAGACUCUCUUGGAUUCUCUCAACGAAAACCUUGUACGAACUCGGUGUUGUUCGCGGUACAAACUGAUCCGUGCGAAGAACGACUUCCCCAUGGCUGCUUCGCUGAGUAAUCCUGAGAAUUGGACGUGUUUCCUCAAUUGCGUUCUUCAGUGCGUGGUUCACUUAGUGCCGUUUGUAUUGAAACUUCUGAAACAUCCUCAUCUAGGUGACUGUCCUUCUGAUGAAUUCUGCUGCUACUGUUUCAUUCGACACCAUGCUUCUGAAGUUAUCAGACAUUCGGGAAAUGUGCUAUAUCCCAGAAAGUUCAUCAAACGCCUGAAGUUAAUAUUUCGAGGUUUCAAGCGGGGACAACACCAAGAUGCACAUGAGUUCCUCCGCUGCUUGCUUGAUAAAUUAGACAUGGUAACCGUCACUCCCAGUUCUAAAUCCAAGGAACCCUCUUCUAUUGUCAAUGAAUUUUUUGGGGGCGAACAGAAGAGCCAGUUAAAUUGCCCAAAUUGCGGUCGUUGCUCAGACCGUUUGGAGUCUUUCCUUGACCUUAACCUGGAGGUGAAUCAGAUGGGGAAUAUCACAGACUUACUAUCAGCUUUUACAAGAAUUGAGGUGAUUGAAGAUUAUCUUUGUGAUGGAUGCAAAACUCGUGUGAACAUGGAAAAGUGCCUGAAGGUGGAGCGGGCUCCAAAAGUUCUUGUAAUCCAGCUCAAACGGUUUCAAAAUUUUGGGGGGGAUAUAUCUAAAAUUGAUCACAUGGUGAAUUACCCGUUUGAGCUGGACUUAAAGCCUUUCAUGAGCUGCACGGAUGAUGAACCUCAUACAUAUGAUCUGUACGGAAUUGUGCAGCAUUUUGGUGAAACUGCCAGAGGUCACUACGUGUGUUAUGUCCGUUCAUCUGAAAUUGAUUGGUUUCUUCUAAACGAUGAUAAGGUUGUGAAAAUGAGCCAGGACAAACUUCUACAGAUGGAAGCAUAUAUGCUGUUCUACGUCAAGAAGGGUGAAUCCUCAUGGUUCUCUACAUUACAUCAGAACAAGGAAAUGCUGCUGUCAGAUUAUUUUGGACAAUUGGCGGGCAAAGGAUUAGAUGAAGACGGUGCCUCGAAAUCUGGCAGCUACACUAGCAAUGAGAGUGACAAUGAGUGUAUCGAACAACAUGAUGCAGGCUCCCAUGGAGGGUCAUCACAAGAGAAUGGGAGAAGCUGCAACUUACUCCAGUCAUCAUCACAUAAAAAUGAAGACGACUACUGCUGUCCUGAAAACUUGACAUCGCAUGAAGAAGACGAGAAGAUGGGCUUAUGUGAUUCUCCUGCUGGCACUUCAAGGAUCAGACUGAUAGGCUCCAACUCCGACCGCAUUGUUAAUGGUAAUAUGUUCCUUAAGCUUUCAGCGCAAGAAAAGGGAUGGUGA
rnacentral:rRNA from 1 species